UUAUGGGAUAAAUAGUUUCGACUGCCAGAUCAUGUAGCUUUUGCUCGUGACGAUCGUUUCAAGUUCGAAUCCUGCUCGCUGCCCUUCCUCAUGGUCAUUCGGGAGUCUUGGACUAGGAUGUGAACCAAGCUUGAAAGACGAAAAGUAGAAGACCAACUGUGACAUUUGUAUUCCUUUACUUUCAAACUACCUAACCCUAACCCUAACAAUGAAGGCAAUCAUUCUUUUAACCAUUUUGCUGGUCUCUUGUGCUGUAUAUGGUGAAAUGUCAGCUGAAGAAACCAGAGCAGUGAAUGAAAAUAAUGCUGUAGAAACAGAGCUGGCUGAAAGCACUGAGAAAAAGAAACGUGUAAUGUAUGGUUGCAGUUUCAAUUCUUACUUAUGUAUAUAAUGAUACUGAUAACUUUUAAGCAGACAGUAAACUGGCUGACAUUCUGGAAAAUUCGAAAUUCGUUGUUUUAAAUUUAAUAAAGCAUAAAUAAGCAAA